AACCAUAGAAACCUGCGGAGUACCUGCGGAGGAUCAUUAUUGAACACGCCGGUACCGGCUGGUACCAUGGCACUAUUUUUGUCCCAACUGUGUUGAUCCGGAUGGCAAUCUGGUUGAUUGACUGAAAGGGGGUGCAAACCCAAUAAACAUAAUGAAUACAACUUUCAACAACGGAUCU
rnacentral:misc_RNA from 1 species